GACGAACGCUGGCGGCGUGCUUAACACAUGCAAGUCGAACGAUGAAGCCUUCGGGUGGAUUAGUGGCGAACGGGUGAGUAACACGUGGGCAAUCUGCCCUGUACUUUGGGAUAAGCCUUGGAAACGGGGUCUAAUACCGGAUAUCACUUCUCUGGGCAUCCAGGGUUGUUGAAAGUUCUGGCGGUACAGGAUGAGCCCGCGGCCUAUCAGCUUGUUGGUGGGGUAAUGGCCUACCAAGGCGACGACGGGUAGCCGGCCUGAGAGGGUGACCGGCCACACUGGGACUGAGACACGGCCCAGACUCCUACGGGAGGCAGCAGUGGGGAAUAUUGCACAAUGGGCGAAAGCCUGAUGCAGCGACGCCGCGUGAGGGAUGACGGCCUUCGGGUUGUAAACCUCUUUCGCCAGGGACGAAGCGAGAGUGACGGUACCUGGAUAAGAAGCACCGGCUAACUACGUGCCAGCCGCCGCAGUAAAAC
rnacentral:rRNA from 1 species